GACAGAGGGGGCAAGCGUUGCUCGGAAUUACUGGGCGUAAAGGGCGCGUAGGCGGGAUGGCAAGUCGGUCGUGAAAUCCCUCGGCUCAACCGAGGAACGUCGAUCGAUACUGCUGUUCUUGAGGAUUGCAGAGGAGACUGGAAUUCCCGGUGUAGCGGUGAAAUGUGUAGAGAUCGGGAGGAACACCGGUGGCGAAGGCGGCCUGCUGGGACAUGGCUGACGCUGAGGCGCGACAGCGUGGGGAGCAAACAGG
rnacentral:rRNA from 1 species